GUGCCAGCCGCCGCGGUAAUACGAAGGGGGCUAGCGUUGUUCGGAAUCACUGGGCGUAAAGGGUGCGUAGGCGGGCAUUUAAGUCAGGGGUGAAAUCCCGAGGCUCAACCUCGGAACUGCCCUUGAUACUGGAUGUCUUGAGUCCGGAAGAGGUGAGUGGAACUGCGAGUGUAGAGGUGAAAUUCGUAGAUAUUCGCAAGAACACCGGUGGCGAAGGCGGCUCACUGGUCCGGAACUGACGCUGAGGCAC
rnacentral:rRNA from 1 species